AUGCUUGCUUGGGCAGCCUGUAUGCUAAAAUUGGAACAAUGCAGAGCAGAUUAGCAUGGCCCCUGUGCAAGGAUGGUGUAGGGGGCUUGGGUGGAGCAAUUGGCCUUU